rnacentral:tRNA from 1 species
GGGGUUGUGGCUCAGUGGGAGAGUGCUUGCCUAGCAUGCAUGAGGCACUGGGUUCAAUUCUCAGCACCA